rnacentral:rRNA from 1 species
AUUGAACGCUGGCGGCAUGCCUUACACAUGCAAGUCGAACGGUAGCGGGCCUUCGGGUGCCGACGAGUGGCGAACGGGUGAGUAAUGUAUCGGAACGUACCUUUCAGUGGGGGAUAACGUAGCGAAAGUUGCGCUAAUACCGCAUAUUCUGUGAGCAGGAAAGCAGGGGAUCGCAAGACCUUGCGCUGAUUGAGCGGCCGAUAUCAGAUUAGCUAGUUGGUGAGGUAAAGGCUCACCAAGGCGACGAUCUGUAGCGGGUCUGAGAGGAUGAUCCGCCACACUGGAACUGAGACACGGUCCAGACUCCUACGGGAGGCAGCAGUGGGGAAUUUUGGACAAUGGGGGCAACCCUGAUCCAGCCAUGCCGCGUGAGUGAAGAAGGCCUUCGGGUUGUAAAGCUCUUUCGGCCGGGAAGAAAUCGUAUCAGCUAAUACCUGGUGCGGAUGACGGUACCGGCAUAAGAAGCACCGGCUAACUACGUGCCAGCCGCCGCGGUAAAAC